rnacentral:rRNA from 1 species
CACGCCGUAAACGAUGAGUGCUAGGUGUCGGGAGGGAACUUUCGGUGCCGCAGUUAACACAUUAAGCACUCCGCCUGGGGAGUACGUUCGCAAGAAUGAAACUCAAAGGAAUUGACGGGGACCCGCACAAGCAGCGGAGCAUGUGGUUUAAUUCGAUGCAACGCGAAGAACCUUACCAGGGCUUGACAUCCCCCGGACGGUCUUAGAGAUAAGACAUUCUCUUCGGAGACAGGGGAGACAGGUGG